GCCUGGGUGGCUUAGUCGGUUAAGCAUCCGACUUCUGCUCAGGUCACGAUCUCGCGGUCCGUGAGUUCGAGCCCCGCAUCGGGCU
rnacentral:tRNA from 1 species